GAGGGUGUAGCUCAAGUGGUAGAGUGCAUGCUUAGCAUGCAUGAGGUCCUGGGUUCAAUCCCACUACCUCCU
rnacentral:tRNA from 1 species